GCAAGUCGAACGGUGAAAGCGGAGCUUGCUCCGCUGUAUCAGUGGCGAACGGGUGAGUAUCACGUGGGCAACCUGCCCCAGUCUCUGGGAUAACUCCUCGAAAGAGACGCUAAUAUCGGAUACGAACUCUGUAGGCAUCUACGGAGUUGGAAAGUUUUUCGGUCUGGGAUGGGCCCGCGGCCUAUCAGCUAGUUGGUGAGGUAGUGGCUCACCAAGGCGACGACGGGUAGCCGGCCUGAGAGGGCGACC
rnacentral:rRNA from 1 species